GUGCUUGAUUCAGCAGAAUGUAUACCAAAAAUGGAACAAUACAGAGAAGAUUAGCAUGGCCCCUGAACAAAGAUGACACUCAGAUUUGUGAAAUGUUCCAUAUUUUU
rnacentral:snRNA from 1 species